UGACCUUGGAAGAAUUAGUCCACCUUUCUGAGUCUUCUUGUUUUCAUCUGUAUAAUCAAGGGUAGUGGCCUAGAGGAUUGUUACGAUGCUUUCCAGCCCUAAACCUUUGAGUCUCUGACUCAAAGGCAAGGCUUCUUGAAUAAAUAUAUUCCUCUCCUGACAGCCAGCCUGGGGAAAUAGAUAAUUCUGUCAGAGCAUCCUUGCACUAAACCUAGAGCUCUGCAGUCUCCCCCAAGGCUGGAAACUUUAUCUUUAUUCAUUGUUCAUCCUCGUUCUCCCUCUCCUUGGCCCUCCCUCCAGCCGUGUUUCGCUACCCCACCCCCAAUCCAGGACACUGCAACCUGUCAUGAAUGAAGAGUGGCUGGUCACAUGGCCCGGUCACCAUGGCGACGGAUCCCCGCAGAUGAGGUAGGCAUCAAAGUCACAUGAGAACCCCGGAAAACUGGCUGAGACCCCCCACCCCUACUCCCAGCUGAUGCCGGUCCUGCCAGAGCUGA
rnacentral:lncRNA from 1 species